AAACCAUGAUGAUGAUGAAAACCAAAGAUAUUCUCAAAAACCAUAUUCAUUUCAUACAAUUCCAUUUGAACUUCUACCGUUUCAGUUAUCAGAUAUAUAAACAUAAAGAAACUGAAACAGUAUUAAAAGAAGUAGAAUAUUAAAAAGUAUUCUGAAGUUAACAAUGGAUCUAUUAGGAAAUAUUGAAAGUUAAACUGUUGAAAACAUGGAUAGAAGCCUCGAAUGAACAA